GACGAACGCUGGCGGCGUGCCUAACACAUGCAAGUCGAACGGAACUGUUUUGAAAGAUUUCUUCGGAAUGAAUUUGAUUUAGUUUAGUGGCGGACGGGUGAGUAACGCGUGAGUAACCUGCCUUCAAGAGGGGGAUAACAUUCUGAAAAGAAUGCUAAUACCGCAUGAUAUAUCGGAACCACAUGGUUUUGAUAUCAAAGAUUUUAUCGCUUGAAGAUGGACUCGCGUCCGAUUAGUUAGUUGGUGAGGUAACGGCUCACCAAGACCGCGAUCGGUAGCCGGACUGAGAGGUUGAACGGCCACAUUGGGACUGAGACACGGCCCAGACUCCUACGGGAGGCAGCAGUGGGGGAUAUUGCGCAAUGGGGGCAACCCUGACGCAGCAACGCCGCGUGAAGGAUGAAGGUUUUCGGAUUGUAAACUUCUUUUAUUAAGGACGA
rnacentral:rRNA from 1 species